UUGGCAUCUUUCAGAAAAGAAGGGGACCGAGGAAUGGGGGGAAGGAGAGGUAGACAAACAGUGAUAUUUGUAUCAAUUAUACUGGCCCAAUAGAUGGGAAGUUCUUUUACCAUAUAUACUUAAAAGCACUGAUUGCAGGGGCACACAAGAAUGGACAAAUAAGAAGCAUGGUAAAAUAAUUAUGUGAGCAAUAAGGGACCCAUGACUAAACUGUUCAAAAUUUUCAAUCCAAAAUUAUGUAAAAUCCCAUUUACUACUAAAUUCUAUAAAUUUAAACUAUUUAUGCAUACAAGUUAGUAUAAUCAACAUUUUCAUGUAGUUUGUCACUUUUUCUCUUUUAUAAAGAUUACAGUAACCAAGACUCAUCCAAUGAAAGCCAAUUGAAUCAGGUGAUCACCAAUUCUAGCACAGUAUGUUAAUAGUAAUGAGUUCAGGCUAUUCAUUCUUUAUGCAUACAAGUUAGUAUAAUCAACACUUUCAUGUAGUUUGUCACUUUUUCUCUUUUAUAAAGAUUACAGUAACCAAGACUCAUCCAAUGAAAGCCAAUUGAAUCAGGUGAUCACCAAUUCUAGCACAGUAUGUUAAUAGUAAUGAGUUCAGGCUAUUCAUUCUUUGGUGGCUAAAUUG
rnacentral:lncRNA from 1 species